rnacentral:rRNA from 1 species
UCCCUACGGGAGGCAGCAGUGGGGAAUAUUGCACAAUGGGCGAAAGCCUGAUGCAGCAACGCCGCGUGAAGGAAGACGGUUUUCGGAUUGUAAACUUCUAUCAAUAGGGAAGAAAGAAAUGACGGUACCUAAAUAAGAAGCCCCGGCUAACUACGUGCCAGCAGCCGCGGUAAUACGUAUGGGGCAAGCGUUAUCCGGAUUUACUGGGUGUAAAGGUAGCGUAGGCGGCCUGGCAAGCCUGAUGUGAAAUACCGGGGCCCAACCCCGGGGCUGCAUUGGGAACUGCCAGGCUGGAGUGCCGGAGG